UCUGGGUGCAGAGCUCUGUGCUCACGUCACCCGGAGCAAGUCUCCGUAGCAAGGAGCUGUGCUGGCUCAGAUCCCCUCUGCAGGCUGCACAGCAAGGCAGAUGAUCUAAAUUGGAGGGAAUGGGUAGGGAUGUGGGCUGCAGGAAGAUUGCAGGUGCCCCCUGGACCUGCAGGAUUAAUGAGCCCUGCCUGGGAGAGCUGCCCAGAGCCCAGGCAGUGACAGGCACAGGACUCGGCCUUGGGAGCCCCUGCUGGGUGGGCCAUGGCCAGCAGGAGGGUGAAAAACGGCAGUUUGUAGGAUGGGGGAGCCUUGGCCUGAGAGCUGAGACUUUUCCUUCUCCUCUCCCCACCCUGCACAGGAUCCUUGCUGAAGUUGGUAAAUCAGGCAGCCAUACCUUCUUCCCCAGCCCAGGCAGAUUUUGGCAUCCCCUUGCAGCAGGGGAGGGUGAGGGGUGUCCUGCCCCAGCAGUGGAUGCUUCUCCUUGUGCAGAAUCCAGGAGAAUUGACAUUGAACAUCGUGCCUGGCAUUAAAGGGACACUAACUGUGCUCCUGGAGGUCUCACCUGGGAACAGAAAGUUUAAAUUGGCUGGCAGCAAGGAGGAGGCAGCAGUGUCCAUCAGCAGGUUCUGAUGAGAGCUGGCUGGAGGGGAGCUGGCUCCACCCGUGCUCCCUUCCAUCCCAUCUGGAAAAUCCAGACGUUCCUCUCACCUUCCAGUUCCAUUAUCCAGCCCUUGCACAAUGCACCUCAGAGAUGGGAGAAGAGACAGAGUCUGCCCUCAAAGCAGUGUGGAACACACCAGGUGCUCCCCCCUGACACCCUGCCAGGUUUGCCUCAGGCACACAGGUGGAUAUUUGUCUGUGGGGAGGGUCUCAGCAGCCUGGGCGUGCUGGCCUUUGUGCUUUGGUGUUGCCAGUGCAUUAUUUAUAUAUCCAAAAGGAGCCAGAAGAGAGGUGGGUGCUCAGCUGAAGUUUAAGGUAACUAAACUGACCUAAUUCCUGUCAAAAAUAAUCAGGAUUAAACCUGCACUGUUCCAAGAUGGAAAACUGGGCCCCAGGGUCUGGCUGGGGCUGCUCUGGGUGAUGCUCCUGUCAGGAUUUGCUUUGUGGCGCCAGAACCAUUGAGCUGCUUCUUUAGUUAAUUUAAAUGUGCAUCAUUAGCAGUUAACUUCGUGCCUUCCCAGGCUUGGCAGGUCCUUACUGGGCUGAACAGGAGCUUUCCAUCCAAACCAGCUUCAGCUGUGCUGCUCCCUGCUCCUGCCCAGACCCCUCAUCUCCUCCAGGCUCUGGGAUCCCUCAGCCCUAAG